rnacentral:rRNA from 1 species
UACAGAGAGUGCAAGCGUUAAUCGGAAUUACUGGGCGUAAAGCGCGCGUAGGUGGAUAUUUAAGUCGGAUGUGAAAUCCCUGGGCUUAACCUAGGAAUUGCAUCUGAUACUGGGUAUCUAGAGUGUGGUAGAGGGAAGUGGAAUUUCCGGUGUAGCGGUGAAAUGCGUAGAUAUCGGAAAGAACACCAGUGGCGAAGGCGGCUUCCUGGACCAACACUGACACUGAGGCGCGAAAGCGUGGGGAGCAAACAGG